rnacentral:rRNA from 1 species
CAAUAGCGUAUAUUUAAGUUGUUGCAGUUAAAAAGCUCGUAGUCGGAUUUUGGCUGAGAACGAUCGGUCCGCCGUUAGGUGUGCACUGAUUGGUCUCAGCUUCCUGGUGAGGAGGUGUGCUUCACGGCCACUUAGUCACCGUGGUUACUUUGAAAAAAUUAGAGUGUUCAAAGCGGGCUUACGCUUGAAUAUAUUAGCACGGAAUAACACCAUAGGACUCCUGUCCUAUUUCGUUGGUCUCGGGACGGGAGUAAUGAUUAAGAGGAACAGUUGGGGGCAUUCGUAUUUCAUUGUCAGAGGUGAAAUUCUUGGAUUUAUGAAAGACGAACUUCUGCGAAAGCAUUUGCCAAGGAUGUUUUCAUUGA